rnacentral:rRNA from 1 species
AACGAACGCUGGCGGCAUGCUUAACACAUGCAAGUCAAACGAGACCUUCGGGUCUAGUGGCGCACGGGUGCGUAACGCGUGGGAAUCUGCCCUUUGCUACGGAAUAACUCAGAGAAAUUUGUGCUAAUACCGUAUAAUGUCGUAAGACCAAAGAUUUAUCGGCAAAGGAUGAGCCCGCGUAAAGAUUAGCUUGUUGGUGAGGUAAAGGCUCACCAAGGUGACGAUCUUUAGCUGGUCUGAGAGGAUGAUCAGCCACACUGGGACUGAGACACGGCCCAGACUCCUACGGGAGGCAGCAGUGGGGAAUAUUGGACAAUGGGCGAAAGCCUGAUCCAGCAAUGCCGCGUGAGUGAUGAAGGCCUUAGGUGUAAAGCUCUUUUACCAGGGAUGAUAAAUGACAGUACCUGGAGAAUAAGACUCCGGCUAACUCCGUGCCAGCAGCCGCGGUAAU